GACGAACGCUGGCGGCGUGCCUAGUACAUGCAAGUUGAGCGCUGAAGGUUGGUACUUGUACCAACUGGAUGAGCAGCGCACGGGUGAGUAACGCGUGGGGAAUCUGCCUUUGAGCGGGGGACAACAUUUGGAAACGAAUGCUAAUACCGCAUAAAAACUUUAAACACAAGUUUUAAGUUUGAAAGAUGCAAUUGCAUCACCCAAAGAUGAUCCCGCGUUGUAUUAGCUAGUUGGUGAGGUAAAGGCUCACCAAGGCGAUGAUACAUAGCCGACCUGAGAGGGUGAUCGGCCACAUUGGGACUGAGACACGGCCCAAACUCCUACGGGAGGCAGCAGUAGGGAAUCUUCGGCAAUGGACGAAAGUCUGACCGAGCAACGCCGCGUGAGUGAAGAAGGUUUUCGGAUCGUAAAACUCUGUUGGUAGAGAAGAACGUUGGUGAGAGUGGAAAGCUCAUCAAGUGACGGUAACUACCCAGAAAGGGACGGCUAACUACGUG
rnacentral:rRNA from 1 species